GUGUCAGCCGCCGCGGUAAUACGUAGGGUGCGAGCGUUGUCCGGAAUUAUUGGGCGUAAAGAGCUCGUAGGCGGUUUGUCGCGUCGGCCGUGAAAACUGGAGGCUUAACUUCCAGCUUGCGGUCGAUACGGGCAGACUUGAGUUCGGUAGGGGAGACUGGAAUUCCUGGUGUAGCGGUGAAAUGCGCAGAUAUCAGGAGGAACACCGGUGGCGAAGGCGGGUCUCUGGGCCGAUACUGACGCUGAGGAGCGAAAGCGUGGGGAGCGAACAGGAUUAGAUACCCUGGUAGUCC
rnacentral:rRNA from 1 species